UACGGAGGGUGCGAGCGUUAAUCGGAAUUACUGGGCGUAAAGGGUGCGUAGGUUGUUUUAUAAGAUAGCUGUGAAAUACCCGGGCUUAACCUGGGGAGGUCAGCUAUGACUGUAGGACUCGAGUAAGGGAGAGGGUAGUGGAAUUUCCGGUGUAGCGGUGAAAUGCGUAGAGAUCGGAAGGAACACCAGUGGCGAAGGCGGCUACCUGGCCUAUUACUGACACUGAGGCACGAAAGCGUGGGGAGCAAACAGG
rnacentral:rRNA from 1 species